CUAUUAGGCGAGGCUUGACGGUUCGGAGGUGACCAUCGUUAUUGACUACCCUCGCCUUUACCCAUUCUGCAUUCAUCGGCGCUCCAGGGACCGUGUCUCCUCAAGGGCGGCCCCCACAGAAGGCCGUUGUUCAAAACGGAAAGGGACCGGGAGUACCAUGGAGACUUCACAAUCUUCCAAGAGGAGUACGCGGCAAACGGUGGGAAAAACGCCCAAUUAGCCAAAUGCCCACUAAUCCGGUGCCGAACUCGCCGGUUAGGACGCAAGCAAAUGUCGUGCUAGUUUCGACUCCUCAAGAGGAUUUAGAUGACAUGUCGGUCACGAAUUCCGAAGUGGAGAGCGUGAUGAAUCGCCAUUGCUUGAAGGAAGCUAUGCGUGCUUCGGCAUUGUCCGAACAAGAAUUCACCACACUGAUUUCGACAGAUGCUUAUGUCCGAGCCGCUCGAGACGGCCUUGCCGGAGUUAUACAACUGUUCUUAACGAAAUAUAGGGUCGUUAUAUCAUCAAGUACUCACGGAGAAAAAUAACACAUUGUCGAAGGAGCUUGAAGAAUGUCGGACCAAGCUAACUGUUGUUACCGCCGAAUUGGAAAAUUUGAAGAAUUUCAAGAAGGCACCUGAUGCGGCAAGAUCGACAGAACAGUUGGAGGAGAGGCUAAAGGCUGCUCAGGCGGACAAGCAACAUGCCGAAGGGCAAGGUGCUGCUGGUCAAUGUAUAUUAACACCGACUAUUGAUGAGAAGAACAAAUUACAAGAUGCAAACAUCAAGCAAGCCAAAGAGCUAAAGGACAUACGAGCCCAACUAUCAGAUGCCUUGAAGGAGAACAAGAAACUAAUAACGCGACAUAUUUAGCGGCCUGAAGGAGAAGUGUCCGGAUUUCAAGGUGACUUGCUGCAAGAGCUAUCCCAAGUGCACGAGCGCGCUUGGAAAGCCAUGAGGAACUUGGCUAAGGCUUUGUGGCAAUCUGAUUCUUCUCCAGAAAUUAUGGAGGAGCUUGUGAAUUUAAGGGAGCGUGACGCCACUUUGAACUAUGGAAGGCAUCAGCAUGUCGAGAAGCUGCACGAGAAUCCUAGGCCAUGGUGAAAAUGUGGUAUACCAGACUUGAUCCGAAUCAUAUGGCCCGGGUCGGACCUUGGGGACCAGACGGACAAGAAAUUCCGGUUAGCUUGGUUUACGACCAAGUAAAGACAGCCGCCAAAUUUUCCCAACAUGACUAUAAACUAGACAGCCUUAUAGAUGGUAUAGAUAAAGAGUAGGCGUUUGAUUCCAUGUAACAAUGCAUUUUAUCACCAAACUUAUCUCCGACCGAACUUGGAAACAUUGGCAUCGAAGACCUUCUGCUUCAACCUCCAAAACCCAAGGUUUGGAGUGUUUCUGAAUACUAUGCCUGUGGUAAAUACCAAGUAUGUUCGGAAACCAGGCAAUCCGGUCAUGGUGCUUCC